GCUCGGUGCUGUGGCACGUGCCUGUAGUCCCAGCUACUAGGGGGGCUGAGGUAGGAGAAUCGCUUGAGUCCAGGAGUUCUGGGCUGUAGUGCGCUAUGCAAAUUGGAUGUCCGACUAAGUUCGGAAUCAAUAUGGUGACCUCCCAGGAGUCGGGGGACCAUCAGGUUACAUAAGGAGGGGUGAACUGGCCUAGGUCGGAAAGGGAGCAGGUCAAAACUCCAAUGCUGAUCAGAAGAAAUCAACCCUGCUGACAUCUGAGCUCAGACUUUGAGCCUCCAGAACUGU
rnacentral:SRP_RNA from 1 species